rnacentral:rRNA from 1 species
UACAGAGGGUGCAAGCGUUAAUCGGAAUUACUGGGCGUAAAGCGUGCGUAGACGGUUAUUUAAGUCAGGUGUGAAAGCCCCGGGCUCAACCUGGGAAUUGCAUUUGAGACUGAAUAGCUAGGGUGCGGAAGAGGGAAGCGGAAUUUCCGGUGUAGCGGUGAAAAUGCGUAGAUAUCGGAAGGAACACCAGUGGCGAAAAGCGGCUUCCUGGUCCAGCACCGACGUCAGGCACGAAAGCGUGGGGAGCAAACAGG